rnacentral:lncRNA from 1 species
AUCUGCAUUGCAUCGGCACUUCGUUGCCACCAUUUUUCAAAACUUGCAUCCGUUGUUAGUUGUUGAUUCUCUCCGUUUUCGUAGUUGACCGUUUUGGGUUAAAACUUGGCGAGCGGUCUUAUUAUAGUGUAGGUAGGGUGUGUGCCAAAUUUCCUCGCAAUCGGAGUUUAUUUGAUACCCAAACCGUUAAAUAUAUAGUGGCACUUUAGUCGGUUAAAUUGUCCGACAUUUUCGCGUUUUACAACUCUGUCAAGGGCCACACAACUUACCUCUCAUCUCAGUCUAGCCCAUCUGCACAACUUACUAUACCCACCUAGCCCCUCCCUCCGUUCGUGGUCGUCGGAUCACGAUCCGACGGACGAGGUCCAAUCCACCAUAGACCAAAUCGUAUAUAUAUCCCACCUUGUGGAGAGAGUCUCUUGCUCCACUAGAAAACCCCACCUUCUAGCCCAAACCCUCCAAGUCCCAAAGCCCUAGCCUCCCCACCCAUUUUCAGCCAUCAGAUCUUGAUCUGAAGGCUCACAUCUACCCAAAAUCCCACCUACUGGACAUGUGUGCGGUCAAACCGGACACGUCCGGCGGCCGCAGCAGCCGCCACCACACGCAGCCCGCACCCAAGCCGUCGUGGUGUCGUGCCUCCGCCUCCGUGCCUCGCCGGAGCUCCACCGGAGCCGCCCUGCUGGCCGCCGCCCCGGCUCCCUUCCCAGCUGCUGCAGCUCGCUGGAGCCGCUGUUGCCCCGACCGCAGCAAGCUUCACCGCGACAGCCAGCCUCAUCGUCGCGCAAGCCCCGCGCCGCACCGAGGAACUGGUCGCGCCAAGCCUCCUCGUCGCCGAGAUCCGGUCCGCCUUCAUCAGAUCUGGUAUCCCUGACCCCUGGUCCGCUCCCCUGCCGCCUGGUCGUCCCACCAGCGAGGCCCUGCGGCAAGCCGCCAUCGCGGUUGCCUCCUGCUAGGGGUCGAGCAGGCACACGACGCUCGCCCAUUGAUCGACAACUGCGCGUGGGUAGGAUUUGUCCUGCACCAGGCCCAUCCAAAGCGAGCACCUCGCCAUGGGCCACGGGCCCCUCUCAUGAGCCAUGACCCCCUUGCAUGCGUAUGUGACGCCCUGUGCGAGAUUUAGUUGUCCAUUGCCCAUGGUAAUGGCCCAACAUGCGCUAAUUUCAGCCCACGUAGUGUUUUCGUUUAGUGUGCGAAUUAUCUAAAUUACGAGGACAUUUUAAUUCCAGAAAAGUUGCCUAAUGUUAAAUUGCUAAUAACUCUUCAACCGUGCACCAGAUUAAAAUAAGUUAGAUAUGUAAAAUGUGUAGAAUUUUGCAUAGAUUAAUAAAAUGUCACUUUCGUGCAUGAUAAAAAAAUUAAUUGUGUUGUUUAAUUAACUUUGCAUUAGGCCAUGUUAAAAAUGAUUUAUUUUAUAACUAAUUAACCAUAGCUCUCAUUAAAUGUUCCAAGUAUGUAAUUUGGCUAGAAAAAUGUGUAAAAUAACAUGGUAGCAUUUAUUUUCCCGUUUAACAACUAUAAAUUGUGUUUAGCCGAUCUGUAGCAAAUUCAAAAUUACAUAUGGGGACUUGUUGGAAUUGUUGUUCGUUGUUCCGGCCUCAUUUAAACUUGCUUAGGAUUCACGUAGCUCCAUGAUAUCUUGCUGCACCCGUGUUUUAGAAUGUUGUGGCUGUCAUUUGCAUGCAUGUUGCAUUCAUGCCAUAAUAUCUUAUGAUGACCAUAUCUUUUAAACUGUAACUCCGUUGGAGAUGAACUUUAUAUGUAAAUCGACUAGAAUGACGCGUAGAAUCUCAUGCUCCACUUUAUACUAUUUAAUAAAUAUAAAAUAUGUGUAGAUCAGAUCUAGACAAAUUUCGAAAUUAACAUAUGGGGGCAUUUCAGAGAUGAUAUAUGUUGUUCCGACCUCAUUUAAAAUGCCUAGAUAGGUAGUUUAAUUAUGCUUCACCUCUUGUCAUGUUUAACAACAUUUAAUAUUGUCGUGUACCUAAAUGAGAGUGAACUAAAUAUUUUAAUGUGGAGUUUUGUCAAUAUGCGACUCGUUGUUUAUUGAGCUUUACUUAAUGUGUUGUGUUUGAUUGUUGUGAAUUGCCAUGCCGUGCCUUGCAUAAUUAAACUGGACAUGCAUCAAAACUAUUUGUGUAUCAUAUCGUGCAUAUGUUGUGGUGUUAUCAUGUGUUGAUUGUUGUUAUGGAUUGUUUCUUCUUGAUACAGUUCCAAACAGCUUCGGAGUGUAAGGAUCCAUUCGACUACGUGGGUUCGUGUGCUUCACAGAUUCAUUCUUCUUCCAAGUGGGAUCACAGGCAAGAUGACCAUUUCCCUAGAUACCAUUACUAUCAUUGCCAUGCUAGUUGUCUCAUUUCUUUCGCUAUUUCUCACUGCCUACCACUUAAAUGUCAGCCUCCCAACAUUACCAUGAAAACCA